UUUACUAAAGCCUCGAUCUGAACACAAUCAAAUUAAACUUUCAGCACAAAAUAAAAUAUAAAUUUCAUUUAAUAGACUGAAUACGUUUAUAUUGACGAACUAUAUCAAAUUCGAUUGUCGAUUAUAAUUAUACCCGUAAUCAUAAUUGUCAAUCCACAUUAGCCAUGACAGUGCCAUGUCAAAAGCUAACGUUUUCAAGAGUAAUUGCAAUGUGUAAUAAGCCAAGCACAAUUUAUAAGUUGCGUUCUAUCCUCUAUGUAUAACUGCCGAACUAAAAGUAUUAAUUUAUCUUCUUUGUAGCUUUAAGUCUGUUCAAUAAAUUGUCUUUUUAACAA